AGCGUUCGUAGGCGGUAAGUUAAGUUAGAUGUGAAGGCCCCGGGCUUAACCUGGGAACUGCAUUUAAAACUGGCUAACUAGAGUUUAGGAGAGGGAAGUGGAAUUUCAGGUGUAGCAGUGAAAUGCGUAGAGAUCUGAAGGAACACCAGUGGCGAAGGCGACUUCCUGGACUAAAACUGACGCUGAGGAACGAAAGCGUGGGUAGCAAACGGGAUUAGAUACCCCGGUAGUCACGCCGUAAACGAUGUCAACUAGCCGUUGGGCCUAUAUACAGGUUUAGUGGCGGAGCUAACGUAUUAAGUUGACCGCCUGGGGAGUACGGCCGCAAGGUUAAAACUCAAAUGAAUUGACGGGGGCCCGCACAAGCGGUGGAGCAUGUGGUUUAAUUCGAUGCAACGCGAAGAACCUUACCUACCCUUGACAUCCAGAGAAUCUGUUAGAGAUAGUAGAGUGCCUUAGGGAGCUCUGAGACAGGUGCUGCAUGGCUGUCGUCAGCUCGUGUCAUGAGAUGUUGGGUUAAGUCCCGUAACGAGCGCAACCCUUAUCCUUAGUUGCUAGCAGGUCAAGCUGAGAACUCUAAGGAGACUGCCGGUGAUAAACCGGAGGAAGGUGGGGACGACGUCAAGUCAUCAUGGCCCUUAUGGGUAGGGCUACACACGUGCUACAAUGGUCGGUACAGAGGGCCGCAAACUCGCGAGAGUAAGCUAAUCCCAGAAAGCCGAUCUUAGUCCGGAUUGGAGUCUGCAACUCGACUCCAUGAAGUUGGAAUCGCUAGUAAUCGCGAAUCAGAACGUCGCGGUGAAUACGUUCCCGGGCCUUGUACACACCGCCCGUCACACCAUGGGAGUGGGUUGCAAAAGAAGUGGGUAGUCUAACCUUCGGGAGGGCGCUCACCACUUUGUGAUUCAUGACUGGGGUGAAGUCGUAACAAGGUAACC
rnacentral:rRNA from 1 species